UGGGCCCGUACGACGUGUCGACGGAGAACGGCACUGGCGUGACGCCGGUCGUGAUAUUGGUCCGUCUGUACAGGAUCGCCGGAGCUCCAAGUACUGGCUUUGACGAACGGCGCUUGGGGUAAAAAGAAAAAGUAAUUCUCAGAGACGCUAUUUUCCCCUCGAUUCGUGGCCGGAGAGGGUUGUACUCAUUGCGACGGCGGAGGCGACCGGGGAUGGGUUCGAGUUCUUAUCAGAUCCGGUUGAUAGAUUCCCUGUGCUGGCGUUGACGGCGGUGACUACGUGCCACCGGCGCAGCCCGCUCCAGAUCUGCUGGAUAUAGCAGGCGAGUCUAGCAUUGAUGAUGUGGGCGACCGGCCGCCGGCGCUCCAAGUAGAACUGAACGGCGUUUGCUCGAGCAUUAGCUUGUUGGUGCCGGACUUAGAACAGUGAACAGGCAAGGACGACCGGCAAGCACCGGCGAGGAAGAAAGAGGGCUCGUGUUGCACGGCCGCCUACAGAACGGCCACCAUGCAUGCAUUGGCAGAGUGUGCACAUUCAGGGGAUACGCAGAGAAGCAUGCUGAAACUGUGGAGAAAACAUCAUGUUGAAUGGAGACACCAAUAUGGUAACCAUCUUUCAUCUUCUUUGAUCUCAGGUCACCAGUUUGGCGAAUUCUUUGGUAGUUGCGACUCCCGUCCAAGGUCAAGAUUUUUUUGCUGGAUGCUUUGCAUGGGAUCAUGCCGCUGAAAUCUAUCCUUGCAAAUAGACACAUUGGUACUGAAGGUCACUGCCCAAUCUGUAACUUGGGCGCUGAGGAUGUUAAACACUUGCUUUUUGAGUGUACGCCUGCAGUGGAAUUAUGGAAAUUGCAUGUUGAUACCAUCAUCUUUGAUGUGAUGCACCUAAUGUUACUCUUCCA